rnacentral:rRNA from 1 species
CAGAGACUGCAAGCGUUAUUCGGAUUCACUGGGCGUAAAGGGUGCGCAGGCGGCCAAGUGUGUGAGGCGUGAAAGCCUGGGGCUUAACCCCAGAAUUGCACCUCAAACUACUUGGCUAGAGCAUUGGAGAGGGUAGCAGAAUUCAUGGUGUAGCAGUGAAAUGCGUAGAUAUCAUGAGGAAUACCAGAGGCGAAGGCGGCUACCUGGACAAUUGCUGACGCUCAGGCACGAAAGCGUGGGGAGCAAAAGGGAUUAGAUACCCCUGUAGUCCACGCCCUAAACGGUGCACACUAGGUCUUGGCGGAUUCGACCCCACCAGGGCCCAAGCUAACGCGUUAAGUGUGCCGCCUGAGGACUACGGCCGCAGGGCUA